UUUUUGUAAUCAUGAUCUCUGUUGGUGCAGAAUUCUGUCGAUGUCGGAGAAGCUGGAGUCGAGGGGAUCACGGCCGCCGUCGGGACCUGCAAGGAAAGUCUAAACCGAAGUUGAGGGUGUUUCGGCAAGAUCCUCUGACGUUCAACAGCCUUCUUCUUUUGGGCCUGGGGGGUGGGGUGUUCUACACGGUUGCUGCUGCUGUCCUUGCAAGAUUAUGAGGGAAGAUUGAUCUGGGGUUUUCUACAUGGACAUCAGGUGGUCUUUGCAAGAGAUUAUGGAUGAUGGUGGUUGCUGUUGCUUUGCUGGCACUUCUCUAUUUUAUGGUGGUCAAGGUUGUGGCGUAUUAUAUCUUUUCAAACAGCCAUGUGAGCGAUAAUAUUGAACGAUAACUAUUUUACUGUACUGUAUCUUUCUGGUUAUUUUGUGUCUCUUGAAUUUGUCUGUGCCGAUACAUGUGAUGUUUUCCUUUUUCCUUUGGUGGUUGGGAUUCCUUUUGGAAUGCACUUUGCGUGUGCUGGUUUGCGUGUGCUGGAAUGCACUUUGCGUGUAUUGGUUUC